UGCAGCAUACGGAGGUUCCCAGGCUAGGGGUCUCAUUUGGAGCUGCAGCUGCCGGCCUACACCACAGCCACAGCAACACAGGAUCCUUAACCCACUGAGCGAGGCCAGGGAUGGAAAACCUGAAACCUCAUGGCUCCGAGUGGGAUUUGUUUCCACUGCGCCAUGAUGGGAACUCCGAAAGUCUGUUUUUAAAAGGUUUAUUUCCAGCAAACCUGGCACUGGGUAAAUGAACCUGACUAGUAUCCAUGAGGAUGCAGGCUCAAUACCUGGCCUCGCUCAGAGGGUUAAGGCUCCAGUGCUGCCAGGAGAUGUGGCGCAGGUCACAGGUGCGGCUCCGAUACCGCACUGUGUGUCUGUGGUGUAGGCUGGCAGCUGCAGCUCUGAUUGGGCCCCUAGCCUGGGAACGUCCAUGUGCUGUGGUCCAUGUGGUCCAUGUGGUCUGGCCCCAAAAAGCAAAAAAAAAAAAAAAAAAAAAACCAAGCUGANAAAAAAAAAAAAAAAAAAAAGCCAUGCUGAUAACAAGACUUGUGCAGCCCGUCCUGGUUUACAAGGAGCCCUCCGACACCCCGCUCUGACCCUCAGGGCUGUGCCGAAGGCAGCUUAUCAGCUCAGAGAGGUCAGAUUUCACUCUGCAAAGUGAGCGGAGAUUUUUGUUUUUCAUCUUUUAAUCCUUUCCAUGAUCCCACAUAUGAAGCAACAAGAAAAUUAGACGAGAAACUGCGGGAUACUGAUUAGGUAAAGUGGGGAACUUAAAGAAAAGAGAGCUCCACCAGGGCCAAGACGGCCUGAACCCGUCCAAGAGGCGCGGUGUGAGCCGAGCCUGGACAAGCAGGGCUUCAGAGGGGAAGCCUCAGAGGGAGGGCCUGUGUGUGUGGCUAAUGGAGCAGCGAGAGCACAGACAAGGGAACCAGGCAAGCCGUGUGCAGAUGGGAAAAGACACACUGCAGACAAGGAACCCGUCUGGCCCCAGGUCUCAAACCUGGCACGGACCAAAGACGGCUUCGCCAGAAAGGAAGAAAAAUGGACGCGGUGAUCACAGUAAUCAAUUAGUCUUUUGUUUUCAAAGUCGGUUCCCAGAAUGGAUUACUUACUUCAUUAAGUAGCAGAGUCUCCCUUGAUUUGGGUCAUUAAUGCAUAUUACUAAAACCUGAUUUGCGUUUCUCCAACUCAUGCUUUCUGUACCCUUGAUGGGGCUCAGGGUCAAGACCAGAAGGAGGGGCUCGAUGAACUGGGGUGGUCCCCUCCCCUCCCCCGAGCCAGGCUCCUCCCUGGAAAAGCCAUCCAACUGCACCGUCCUUGGAAUCCAGACGCCUCAGCAUCCGCCUCUAUUGGUCUUAAAACUAACAUUGGGUUAAAUGUUCUCAUCUUUUCUGUAGUUACAUUGUGUCUAAUUUUAGUCUUAUUGUACCCGAAUGACUGAAGGGGGUUCAACUGCUUUAUCUGAUGGAUGUUGGUGCAUCAGACAGACAGAUGUUUGCUCCUACAAUUAUUAGCCUGAUGGAUUCUGACUAAUUUAUGGAACGAGAUGGGGUAUGUUUUCUCCAACAACACACCCUGCUCACUGACUGUAUCAUCGCCAAACAUUUAGAGAUGACUAGUUAUGUUAAAAAUACCAGCUAACCACUAACAGAGGUGUGGCUGGCUGAAGUCCUGGGCCUCAGGGCACAGACAGGUUGUGAGCUAGGACACCCAUCCACCUACUAACAACACUAGAAGUCAGGGUAUGGCCGGUUGGGUGGGGCUGAUGUGAGUUCUUAAGAAAGACGAGAAGGGUAAGGGUUUCUUUUUUCAUUUUUCUUUUUGGUCUUCUGAGGGCCACACCCAAGGCAUAUGGAGGCUCCUAGGCUAAGGGUCGAAUCAGAGCCGUAGCUGCUGGCCUACGCCACGGCCAUGGCAAUGCCAGAUCCGAGCCGCGUCAGUGACUUACACCAGAGCUCACGGCAACGCUGGAUCUUUAACCCCUUGAGUGAGUCCAGGGAACGAACCUGUGUCCUCAUGGAUGCCAGUCAGAUUUGUUUCCACUGAGCCACAAAGGGACUCUGGGGGUAAGGGUUUCUAGUCCAGGGAUAAAGUGUGCCAAGCCACCUCUCAGCUGAGACUCAAAACCAUGUACUUCCCGCCCUGAUGCUUCAACAGGUGUGUGGACUAAGCUCCCCAGUGCCUUUCCUACACUCAGUUCCUUCUCCACCAUGAACCACUCCCUGGUAACGUUCCCGACCCACAGGUCCAUCAGGUCAGUCGCGUGCUCAGGGAACCAAGCACAGGCUGUCACCGUUCCUAAUGGUCCUGUCGUAACCGUACUCAUCCCUGCUCGUUCCUCUGGGUAGAGGCUGGCAGCCCCCUGUAAAGGGACACAUAAGAAAUAUUUUUGGCUUUCAGGCCACAUGCUGCAACUCACCUCGGCCAACACGGUGCAGAAAGAAGUAGCCAUGGACACCUGGCCAUGGACAUGGCGGGGACACCUGUCGGCCGCCGGUGGGUGCUCAGUGCUGGGUAUGCAAAGUGAAAGGCCAGUCUCGUGUGUGAGCUUGUGUCUACUGGGCUGACAGGUGGGUGAAGAGAAUUCAGCAGGAGAAAGGAGCCCUGCCUCUGACUUGGCACCUUCUCUCUACAACGAAACACCUCUUGCUUCGCUAUCGACACCCUGGAAUAAAGGCCUCUCCGGAGGAGGCACCAAGGCCCCUCAUAUGCAGUGGGUACUGAAAAAACUACCAAUUCUUGAAAUGGCUCAAGCGAAUUAAAGCACAUUGAAACCAUCAGUGCCUUAGGUCUGUCCGACACAGUCACGACAUUUUCGAGCUUUGCGAUGUCUCAAUGUGUAACAUACUUUGUUACGGUGAGGGGACAGAUUCAUAGAGAACAUGACUGAAAACCAAACAGGAAAUGAGUAGGAGCUGGAGGCUCAUCUACGUGUUUCUUUACAUAUAUCGAACGACAAUGAUAACAAAACAACAGCCCUGCGACCGUCCUUCCUGGGCGCGGCGACGUACUUUGCAGAGCAGCACUUGGCAAGAUCACACCAAGGCGAUGCCACUGCUCCGGGGUAGACGAGGGAGGUGCACACGGGCUGGGCUGGGAAUCCUAUGAGGGACGCCGAGUGCUGGGACGGACCCCUCUUUAAAUUAGACCUCCUAUCAAAACGCCGUCACAGGGGCCCUGCCGGUUAUAAAUGCGCUAUACUGGACCGGGAGAAAAUUCCAGGGGUGCUUACAAAACCUCGCUAGAAGCGUUAAACAUUCCCAGCCGUUUUCAUUAUUUGUCAUUCAGCAAAUGUGAAUAUUUCUUUUUGUAUUCCUACUGAAGCUUGAAAUUAACAUGGCUUUUUGUUUAUUUCUUCAUUUCUGCACCCUUGUCAGCUCAUCUCAGGAACACACUUUGUUAGCUGGCUGCUGCAGAGCCAAAAAAAAAAAAGGCCUAAAGACACUCACACCAUGACUGGUAAAAGGCUCUGCAUGAAAUGCCAUUUGUUCUCUAAGCUCUCAGAAGUAGAACAUCCCUCUUAAAAGAAACUUUUAACACCUAGGAUGCCUUUAUCAAGAAUCAUUUUGACGCGGACCUUAGUGUCUAUCGGCCCCCAAAGCCAGAACCCUGGAGGAAGAGCUUUCCCCAGAUGAUGCCAAGGGAGGGUAUGUAUGGGGGUGAAGGCUGGAAAGCAAGGGUGAACCAGGAAUUUUCUAAGGCAAACUGAUCUCUGGAAAAUGCCCCUCCCUGCCCCCACCCCAAGACUUUAAGAGGAACUUAGCCUAUAUCUAGCAUUUGCAAACCACUCUGGGGCAGGUCCCCUCGGCCCCAGGUCUGUUUCUAAUUGGAUCCAGCUGGCUUCCUGAGGACUCACCUCCACGAGGCCUCCUUCCCACCAGGAAUCUGAUUUACACCCCAGCAACACCAGAUCCUUAACCCACUGAGCGAGGCCAGAGGUCAAACCUGUGUCCUCGUGGAUCCUAGUCAGAUUCAUUUCCACUGAGGCACGAAGGGAACUCCCAGUCUUUUUUUUUUUUUGGUCUUUUUAGGGCCACAUCCAGGGCACAGGGAAGUUCCCAGGCUAGGGGUUGAAUUAAAGCUGCAGCUGCUAGCCUACACCACAGCCACAGCAACACUGGAUCCAAGCCGCACCUGUGAUCUAUACCACAGCUCAUGGCAAUGUCGGAUCCUUAACCCACUGAGUGAGCCUGAGGAUGGAACCCAAGUCCUCAUGGAUCCUAGUGGGGUUCGUUACUGCUGAGCCAGGAUGGGAACUCCUGCAGCCAAUCACUUUUAACUUCACAUUCAGAUGGGACAAGAGCAUUGGGAAGACAGAAUCUUUCUCCUGCCUGGGCAUGUGUAUGUUCAAACACACUUUCUGAACUUCCUCACCAGCACAGGAGAGCACCGCCCUGCCGCCCCCUGCCCCCUUUCAGAACACAGCCCGAGAUAAAGCUCGGAGGACAGCUUGAUGGUGGCUCUGCCUGUCCUUCUGAGGCUGUGUCUCCCGUCUGUCACAAGGACCCAGGGCCACUGCAGUGCGCAGCAUCCCCCAGCCCAGUGUGCCUGCCCGCGAAUCUCCCAAGAAGAUCGUGAUUCAUCCCUCUUGGCUGAUGUUGACUCAUGAUCUGAAAAAGCCACUCUUCGACCUCUACUUCGGGGAGACUCUGCACUUUGGGGGAGCUGGUAACACACUUUUCCUAAUAUAAACGUACAGGAGAGGCCAUUAUAUGCAGCCCUCUGAACUUUUAAUCGGGUCAGUGUCUUCACAGCUGCAUCACAUCCACCACCUAGAAAAAUGAACUUCUGAAGUUUUCUCUGCCUUUGGCUUUUAAUCCGUCUCCUCCUUGGCUUGCUCUGUAAUGGAUGAGGCUGUCACCCCACAGGAGGACUCGGGACAGGAUGGGGGUGGAGGGGGAGGACAAGGGGGGGAAGAGACCCUGCUUUUCAGGCGCUUCUGAAUUGUCCUCAUUAAAAGUUGAUUUCGAAAUUCUGUGGUGAAUUUUCAGAAUAGGCACUUCUAUAAACAGAAGCACAAAUCCACCCCAGGGCCACCGGCGGAUCACCUGCUGUUUUACACAUUAGCCCCGAAGCUCCGCCCACCCUCCCAUCAGCGAGGACAAUCAGGAGGUGACCACGAAAAAUUACUCCCAUGGCUGCUAAAUGCCACAUAAGAAAAAAGACACAUUUUCUGUGACUCCAAAUUAAGCUCCGUUUGCUCUUCAUGAAAAUUAGGGUGCUGCAACCACCACCAGGAAGCACAUGACAAGUCCUGGUUCUCUUAAGGAAAGCCUCAGAAUGCAGCCUGAACUCCCCACUGGCCAGGUAGACUUCUCUGCAGCACCUGCUGCUCCUGAGAGCCGGCGGCCUCAAGUUCUCCAAGUCAGAAUGUCCCCGAAUUUCUUUGUCGGGUGACCUGAAGCCUCGC
rnacentral:lncRNA from 1 species